rnacentral:lncRNA from 1 species
UUCUUCUCUUCCCGUCUGAGGUGGCGGUCGGUCUCGCCUUGUCGCCAGCUCCAUUUUCCUCUCUUUCUCUUCCCCUUUCCUUCGCGCCCAAGAGCGCCUCCCAGCCUCGUAGGGUGGUCACGGAGCCCCUGCGCCUUUUCCUUGCUCGGGUCCUGCGUCCGCGCCUGCCCCGCCAUGAAUGAGGAGUACGACGUGAUCGUGCUGGGCACCGGCCUGACGGUAACAUCCCAAAAUAACACUUUUAGAUGUCUCUAGGCAAGAGAAAACCUUCGAACUUUUAUUUGGCUAAUUUUUUAGGAAAGGAAUGUAUCCUGUCAGGUAUAAUGUCAGUGAAUGGCAAGAAAGUUCUUCAUAUGGAUCGAAACCCUUACUACGGAGGAGAGAGUGCAUCUAUAACACCAUUGGAAGAUUUAUACAAAAGAUUUAAAAUACCAGGAUCACCACCCGAGUCAAUGGGGAGAGGAAGAGACUGGAAUGUUGACUUGAUUCCCAAGUUCCUUAUGGCUAAUGGUCAGCUGGUUAAGAUGCUGCUUUAUACAGAGGUAACUCGCUAUCUGGAUUUUAAAGUGACUGAAGGGAGCUUUGUCUAUAAGGGUGGAAAAAUCUACAAGGUUCCUUCCAC